CUAGGACUUGGACUCAGAGGGGAACUCGGGGUUUCUUUUGCAGCAUGAAUGAGGUCCGGAGGGAAACCCUGAAGGUGAAGGUUGAGAAACGGCCCCAGAGGAACCCCACUCCUCACCCAAAGAGGAAAUCUGUGCAUAUUGACGAUAAGGAAAGCUUAAGCUGCAUCAGGCAUCCGUGCCAGCCUGCCCUUCCUUGCCCUCCAACCAGGAGGGCAUCUUCUUGUCCCAAACCGCCCGGGUUUCCUUUGAAAAGGAGCGAGCAGCUUCCUUCUGUAAAAUCCACAGCCAAUCCCCCUCAGAAGACUCCGCCAUCUCCAGCCAAGGGAGUGCAGAGUGAACCUGAAGCACCCUCACUUCCUCAGCGUAAAAGCUGGGGUCUCCAAAACUGGCUCCCGCAAAAGGACAGGAGUUUAGCCUGUCCCCAGAAAAAAAAGCUAGAUAGCGUGGCUCGGACUCCUCCACACAAGGCAGAUCGAAUCCCUCCUGUGAGAGAGUCUCAGGACUCCCCAGGCUGUUCAAAACCAUCUGGUCACGGGUACAAGAGGCCCAGAAACUCUCUGUACCAGUCGGGCCAGGAAGAGACCCAGGAGUUUUCCAAGAGCGUUUCCCAGGAUGGACCCAAUAGGUCAUGUUGGAGCUCCCCGCUGUUCAAGGACUCCCAGAAACCAGAUCCAGGGGCUUCUUCUCAGGACAGAAGCCCAGAUGGUCCGUCCCAGAAGCAUCGUGACAGUAUUUUGUACGAGGACCUCCAAGUUUCUGACACAGAUGAGAGUGAAGAAAGUGAAGAGAGUGAAGAA
rnacentral:lncRNA from 1 species